rnacentral:rRNA from 2 species
UCCGUAGGUGAAACCUGCGGAAGGAUCAUUA